UCAAUUACCAGUGCCAAAAACAGUCGCGAAAGCAAAUAAUUCUCUGAUCUAUGGUCCAGAAGGUCAGCAGUAGCCUGAGGCUACUUCACCAUGCCUCUGUCAUUUGGCGCUCAUCAUCUCAUCAUGUAGGCAAUUUAUCAUCCCAUGUCAUCCCAAGAAGGCCAUCCAGGCAGGUAUAAGGUGUUAUCUCAUCGUGGUUUUGAUUUCCAUUUCCCUGAUGCUGCGUAACAAUGGACAAGAAGAGAGAGAGGAGCAACAGAAGGAACUAUGAAACUUAGAAGAUUCUAGAGGACAUCUAGAAGCCCAAGGAUUUGCUGGUUUGGAAAAUGUAACUCUUGCCCCAGUUCUCCCAUCUGGUAAAAAUCUCUCGAAGUGAAAAAUCAAACCAGGGGUAUGGCUGUAAGGACCCUUGUUCAGACCCCUGAAUAAUUUAAGUAAUGCCUAAAGGACUGUUUCAAGUACAGCUUUUGAGAUCUUAAGGAUAUUUUCUCACAGCAGCCUCAAAUCAUUGCCCCAAAGACCAUAUAUAUAACACAGAACACCAUGAAGCUCCCCUAUUUUGAUGGCAUUAUGUUAAUUGGAUCACUGGAAUACCAGAGGGGA